UUAAGGAGCAUCCCUUAUAUAAUGUGACCAACAUCUGGGGACGUUUGUCAAUUGAGUUGUAUACGUAUUGAUGAAGAUUUUUGUCCACUACAUAGAGUUAAACAUAAUUAUUAAAUUAAGUUUUAAAGCCCCGUUUACACGAGCAAAUUUUAUUUGACAAAUUUCAUAUGUCAAAGAUAUUUUGCUCGUGUAAAUGACAAAUUUGUGACAAAUUUAUUGUGACAAAUGCAUUUGAACAUACAAAUCAAAUGCAUUUGAUCAAAUGAAAUUUGUCAAAUAAAAUUUGCUCGUGUAAACGGGGCUUAAGUUAAAAUAUUGGUAAUAUAGCAUCAACUAAAUUAUCCUUUCCCAACUUCCACCAGUAUUGAUAUAACUAUAUGUCAAUACGGAAAAAAGUUUUAUAUUUUUUUAUAAUAUAGCAAUGU